GAGACAGCAGCCGCCGCGGUAAUACGUAGGGUGCAAGCGUUAAUCUGAAUUACUGGGCGUAAAGCGUGCGCAGGCGGUUAUAUAAGACAGAUGUGAAAUCCCCGGGCUCAACCUGGGAACUGCAUUUGUGACUGUAUAGCUAGAGUACGGCAGAGGGGGAUGGAAUUCCGCGUGUAGCAGUGAAAUGCGUAGAUAUGCGGAGGAACACCGAUGGCGAAGGCAAUCCCCUGGGCCUGUACUGACGCUCAUGCACGAAAGCGUGGGGAGCAAACAGGAUUAGAUACCCGAGUAGUCCCUGUCUCUUAUAC
rnacentral:rRNA from 1 species